rnacentral:rRNA from 1 species
ACGAACGCUGGCGGCACGCUUAACACAUGCAAGUCGAACGAGAGAAGAGGAGCUUGCUUUUCUGAUCUAGUGGCGGACGGGUGAGUAACACGUGAGCAAUCUGCCUUUCAGAGGGGGAUACCGAUUGGAAACGAUCGUUAAUACCGCAUAACAUAAUUGAACCGCAUGAUUUGAUUAUCAAAGAUUUAUCGCUGAAAGAUGAGCUCGCGUCUGAUUAGCUAGUUGGUAAGGUAACGGCUUACCAAGGCGACGAUCAGUAGCCGGACUGAGAGGUUGAUCGGCCACAUUGGGACUGAGACACGGCCCAGACUCCUACGGGAGGCAGCAGUGGGGAAUAUUGCACAAUGGAGGAAACUCUGAUGCAGCGAUGCCGCGUGAGGGAAGAAGGUUUUAGGAUUGUAAACCUCUGUCUUCAGGGACGAAAAAAGACGGUACCUGAGGAGGAAGCUCCGGCUAACUACGUGCCAGCAGCCGCGGUAAUACGUAGGGAGCGAGCGUUGUCCGGAAUUACUGGGUGUAAAGGGAGCGUAGGCGGGAUCGCAAGUCAGAUGUGAAAACUAUGGGCUUAACCCAUAAACUGCAUUUGAAACUGUGGUUCUUGAGUGAAGUAGGGGUAAGCGGAAUUCCUAGUGUAGCGGUGAAAUGCGUAGAUAUUAGGAGGAACAUCAGUGGCGAAGGCGGCUUACUGGGCUUUAACUGACGCUGAGGCUCGAAAGCGUGGGGAGCAAACAGGAUUAGAUACCCUGGUAGUCCACGCCGUAAACGAUGAUUACUAGGUGUGGGGGGACUGACCCCUUCCGUGCCGCAGCAAACGCAAUAAGUAAUCCACCUGGGGAGUACGACCGCAAGGUUGAAACUCAAAGGAAUUGACGGGGGCCCGCACAAGCAGUGGAGUAUGUGGAUUAAUUCGAAGCAACGCGAAGAACCUUACCAGGUCUUGACAUCGUAUGCAUAGCUCAGAGAUGAGUGAAAUCUCUUCGGAGACAUAUAGACAGGUGGUGCAUGGUUGUCGUCAGCUCGUGUCGUGAGAUGUUGGGUUAAGUCCCGCAACGAGCGCAACCCUUACUGUUAGUUGCUACGCAAGAGCACUCUAGCAGGACUGCCGUUGACAAAACGGAGGAAGGUGGGGAUGACGUCAAAUCAUCAUGCCCCUUAUGACCUGGGCCUCACACGUACUACAAUGGCUGUCAACAGAGGGAAGCAAAGCCGCGAGGUGGAGCAAACCCCUAAAAGCAGUCUUAGUUCGGAUUGUAGGCUGCAACCCGCCUACAUGAAGUCGGAAUUGCUAGUAAUCGCAGAUCAGCAUGCUGCGGUGAAUACGUUCCCGGGCCUUGUACACACCGCCCGUCACGCCAUGGGAGUCGGUAACACCCGAAGCCUGUAGUCUAACCGCAAGGAGGACGCAGUCGAAGGUGGGAUUGAUGACUGGGGUG